CCUGAUCCAAUCAUUUCAUCAGCGUUGAUCCUUAGUGAAGAGACUCUGUUUCCAUAUUUUGGAUACAGAUCAGUCUUAGCAAUCCACACAUGUCCCACUUUGCUAGGUUCCAUGAAACAUCUGCUGGUCCUCCAUGCGCGUUGAAGUUGAUUUCUCAUGAAAUAGCAGUUAGAUGCCUUAUGACCUGCUUUGCAGCAAAACAUACACCCAUUCUUUCGUUUUAUGGAAGAUACAUUCGAGCUCUUUGUGACCGUUGGAUUGACGGAACCAACUGUCUGAGGUGUGCUUGUACUAGUCUGUUGAGAGCCUUUCACAAACGUUACUCCUUGGACCAGAUCCUUUGACCGUGAACAAUAACCUUGAUAUCCAAGUCCACGGUAAGUGGCUGGUGAUUGGCCGACACUCAAAAUGUGAUCAAGUUUGUCAGAUCCAGUGUUAAGCAUCCUCACUUUCUUGUAGUUCUCACUGAGCUCGUACUGCAACAGUCGACUCUUUUCCACCUCCUCAUUCAGCAACAGCUUGGUUUGAUCAUAUCUGGUCUCCAGGCUUUUUAGGUUAUAUGCCUGAUCUGAGAUGGUUUUCUCAAGAGAAUCUCGUUUCUCUUUUUCUCUGUUUUCAGUAAUCACAGGUGUGAUUUCAUCAUCUUUUGCCGGUUGUUCUAGUUCAAGAAUGUUUACCUGAGCCUUUAGCAUUGCUCGAUCCUUGAUCAGUUUCUCCCUAUGAGUUCUAGAAAGUUCACUUGUGGACAAGUAAAAGAACAAGUUUGGGGGAGUUGAUAUCUUGCAUAUUUGCAUUGUUUUAUCUAUUCAUUCAUGUGCAUUUUCAUCAUAUAGAUUAGGAUUUAGACAUGUUUAGGUUGCAUUUUGCAUACAUGAGUCUGUAUUAGGUACUGGAGUGCCACAUGGAGUUCUUAGGGACAUUUGGAUGCAUUUGGAGCUCGAAGGAGGUGAAAUAGGUGAUCAUUAAACGAGCAGAGCAUGGGAGCGACCUCCCGGAGCGACAUCACGAAGUCGCUGUGUCCCACCUCUCAGAGCGACCUUCCUAAAGCGACGCCAUGAAGUCGCUCGCGUUCUCGUUACUCCGAACCGUCUUAGAUGACCCUGGAGCGACCUCUCAGAGCGACCUACCAAGGUCGCUCCCGAUCCAGAGCGACCCGUUGGAGCGACACACCAAAGUCGCUCGCGACCUCUCACCCGGAGACACCAAAAAUCGGCCUUGGAGCGACUUCCCGGAGCGACACCUGCAAGUCGCUCCGCGUUACUUUGCUGCCGAAAAUCAUGAUUUCCCGAGGACCUUUUUGCAAUUUAUUUUGGACGUUUUGCACUUGGAAAAACCUAUGUUUUAAACAUCUUUUGUAGCCACCAGGCAGACCAUCUUGGGAUCUAUUGAGAAAUACACAAAAACUCUCUUGAGAAGUUCAUCUCUUGGAUUUUGAUUGUUAUGUUCUUGUGUUCUUGUUGAUUUCUUAUCUAUUUCUCUACAUGAUUAAUCUGAAAUCCAAUAUGGGUUUAAGAGGAAUCAUGGAGAUUAGUGAGUAAUCACCUUUUGAAUUCAUGGGUUAGGGAGAUCAAGGGUGAUUAGGUUAGUUCUAGGAUGUUUUAGUGUAGAUCAUUCUUGUUCCUUGCUAGUAGAGUAUUCAUAAUGCAUCUUCUGAGUUGGCCACUCAAAAGUUGAUCAAUAGGCAUUUCCCACCCAAAAGGUGUUUGAUGAAAUGCCUGAGACAACUCUCCUAGGCUUUUAGUAUACUUUGCCAAAGACAUUUGUUGUUAAAGAUGCUAAGAUAGCUAAUAGACUUGUUCGUAAUGAUUGCUUUCAUAUUAUUCAACCAAAGACAUUUGAUGUUUGAGAUAUGUUAGCAAAUGAGCAUUCAUCUAGACAUAGAGCUUGCUUAGAAUUGUGUCUAGGCUUAAGGUUGAUAGUUUGAUUGAUCAUUUGCCAUCCUUAGUUCGAUACUUGAUCACCCAAGGUCUAAUCCCUAUGCCCAUGAGUUCUCUUUUCCCUUAGUCAAGAAGUAUCAUUCUGUUAUUGCUUUCUAGUUUUAGUCAUAGCUUAAAACCCAUCUAAAUCAUUGGUUGCACUUAGAUUAAGUGAGUACUUGCAUUCUCAGUGCUUUGAUAUCCCUCAGAACUGGUUCGACAAUCACUAUACUACAACAUUUGUCUUAGGAGCCUUGAAAACUCCUAACAUCAUCAAGCCAACACCAAGUAUCUUUCCUUGACCUCCAUCUCCGAAGGUUACCUUUCCACCUUGAAUUUCUUCUACAUUCUCCAGACAUUCCAGGGUUCCAGUCAUGUGUCUAGAACAGCCACUAUCAAAAUACCAAGGGAGAUCAGUCUGCUUAGCGUUGUCAGUUGAUGUGUAUGCCACGUUUCCCACUAUCAUCUCAUUACUCAUGUCUUCAUGUAGAGAAUCACAGUUCUGAGGAAGUGACAUUUCAUCUUUGUGGUGUGACACUGACACUUCAUCAGAUGGUUCCCAGUCUCGAAUAAAUGCAAGAUUGCACAUUAUGGCUUUUCCUUCUCUCUGAUCACUGAUAGGAGUGAGGUCAGAUCCUGAUCCAAUCAUUUCAUCAGCGUUGAUCCUUAGUGAAGAGACUCUGUUUCCAUAUUUUGGAUACAGAUCAGUCUUAGCAAUCCACACAUGUCCCACUUUGCUAGGUUCCAUGAAACAUCUGCUGGUCCUCCAUGCGCGUUGAAGUUGAUUUCUCAUGAAAUAGCAGUUAGAUGCCUUAUGACCUGCUUUGCAGCAAAAC
rnacentral:lncRNA from 1 species